CCAUCCCACACGUUGCAAUGAUUUACUUGGCCGGAGGAGUGGGUGUUGUCAAACUGGGCAGCAGCGAGACGACAGCUGCACUGUUUGUUUCGCGUGCACAGGUAACAACAGACAAUUUUUAAGAGAACUGUUAUAGAAACAAUCACCAAAAAUGUCGGCUGACCGAUUCUCUGCCUCAGAGGAUAAGCAACUUAUUGAACUGGAUUCUAGAAAGCAAAUUUUUGGAAUAUGGCCAACACCGAGUGGAAAAAUCAAAUGAAAAAGGAUUUAAUUUGGGCAAAAAUUGGAAGAAAAAUGAGUAAGUCGAGUAAGUAGAAAUGUCUUUUGUUACAUCCAUGUAUAACAUUUAUAAAUAUGUUUGUACUAAUUUUUUAACCAUAGUUGUCAUGCGUUGGAUGUUGUUAUUGUGAUCAGUACUGCGAACAUCAAUUAAAAUUUGGUCCAUUGAAGUAAUCAGUGGUUCCGCUUCUCACAGUGAAUCCCUCAGCUUUAACGUAACCACCCAUUCCUGCCAAGGGUAUCAUGUUUUCCUUGGGCAGUUCAUUAAUUUCUGAUAGAUCUGUGUUAUAAGGCUGUGCGGACUGGUAUUCCUCUUGUGCAAGCAGCAGCAAACUGAAAUGACUUUGUCUACAGAUUCAGCUUUAAUAUUUAUAGAAGUAAAGAAAACUCUGAAUGUGGAACAUGAUACCAAAAGCUUUCUCGAAAACUUCAUGCUUUGCUUAACUGGUAAUUAAAGUUUCUUUUACGUGCAUCUUCUAGCAUUUGUUGUUUGCAGUAAGGUUUCAUCUUAUUUUCGUCUAAUCUGAAAAGGCCUCAUCGCAAAGUAUGACGUGAGGCAACAGCAGGUUUGAUUGUGGCAAUACCUGUGGCAGUGGAAAAAUUGAUUCAUUUUUACUAGUUUCCCAAUUUUGGAUUUAUCGAAUAUUCCAGUGUCUCCCUCUUUUCUGUAAGAACCUACAUCAGCUACGUUCGCAUCCACUAUGGCAAGGAGAACUAUUGAAAAGUAGUCCUUGUGGUUAUAAUAUUGACUUCCUGUUUUGUUAAGUGCCACAGUCCUGAUGUGUUUACCAUCAAGUGCAGCAACAGCAUUAGGUAAUUUUCAACAAGUCAGAAUUCUUCUGCCUUCCUCCCCCAGUCUAUCUAGUCUGGAGAUGGUAAAAAUUUAGGUAACAGUGCUUGUUCAAGAGCCUUGAGAACAUGAAGCAGAAAUGGUCUUAUUUCAGACACUGAAAUGCGAUGAGAGAAUUGUUGAGAAUGGAAAGAUUCCCCAGUUACAAGGUAUCUGAAAAAAUUAUGGGAGUAAAUUACUUCGGAUGAAAAGUAAGCACAUAAAUUUGAAACUGACACAAAAUUCAAUAUGUAAAACAUUUCUGAAAUUGAAUAACAAUGAUAAUGUUAUAAAUAGAAUGUGUUUAGACAUAGUUUAACUGUUUGCUCUUUUCAAGAUUUUUAACGGUUGUUAUUUCAGGUGUGCAGUGCAAAAGGUGAUGGAGAAACAUCUGAAAUCAUUUUAGGAGAUACGGAAACUAGAAAGAUCUGCGACAAGUGGCUCAGUAGCCACGAAGAAAAGAGCUGUGUACCAGGACAGGCUUCAAUUCCUUAAUAGCGUGGAGGUUGAAAGGAAAAUGUUUUCCUAACAGUGUGCUACAGGAACUCGUUAAGGAAAGACUUGAAGAUCGACAGACUUCUUCCAAAUUUAUCGACUGAGGGCGAAACUGGUUUGUUCCUCAAAUCCAUGGCAGCAACAGUAAAAAAUUUAGACCCAACCUUAUUUGCAAAGCCAAAAAACAGAUUUGAAAUACUGUGAUGGACAUAUAAACCAUAAAUCAGAGAGAUCAAGGAUAUGGCAACAACUCCACAUUUUGGAACCCAAACAGCAGCCAUCCUGCUUCUAUCCAAAGUGCUGACAGUGAGCAAGGACCUAGGAACUAUGAUAAUACUGUCACUGCUGCAAACUUUGAUACCUAUAAAACACAUCGCAAAUCCAGUACCGCACCAGAACGACUACAGUUUUGCACAAUCAAACAUUCUCUGCCACCACCCUCUAUUUUCUGGGAUGGUUACUAAGGGUGGGCCAUGGCCAGUAGCCAAGUUCAUUAUAUUAUAUUUUACCAUUUGUGCCAAAUUAAUGUGUCUGGUAACAUUAACGUUAUGGAACUGUCAGUAGUAGUAGUAGUAUCAUAGAUACACUUUAAGAAAAUGAAAUGAGUUGCACUCCACUGUGAAAACCCACUGUCAUAAAAUGUUUUUUUGAAGUGGAUGACAAUUGUAUGUUGCGUGUUGGAGUAAUUGUUGUAACAAAUGUGAUUUUUUUUAAUAUGACAUGUUAAAAACAACUACAGUAAAAUAAAAUUGUUUAUUGCAAAAGAAGUUAUUUUUUCUACAUAUGUUACAUUGUAAACAACACACACAUAAAAUGGGACAAUCACUGCUCCCAUCCCCACCUAGAGAAAGUCAUUACAGAAUCAUUGCAUAAUGUUACACAUUGUGUUGGGGGGUGGGGGUGUGGAGGAGUGCACUUAUUUUUGAGAAGAGAGUUUAUUGGUCCAGCCACUAAUGAUCAUAAGACCAAGGCUACGAACGAACGAACCGGGCUUCUGCAGGGGCCCCCCGACCCCUGGUUGGCGGAGUCCUAGUAGGCUUGCCCUACUUUGCCUCCAAGUCUUCUGUUCUUUGGUGUUGUUUGUUCUUCUCUUUUUAAUCUUGUCUUCUCGUGGCCCUUCUCAGGAUGUUCAAGCUUCUUUGUGUCUGCACUGCUGACACUGGUUGGGCCCAUGACAGGCCGUCUUCACUGCUCCCGGCGCGGACGGCGUAGGGAGCGCCUUAUUUCAAUGGCUGCUGGGCAGCCGCCGGUGCGGCGGUCAUCACGACUUCCGCAACUCUCUGCAGCGUGUCGGCAAGGAGUGUUACCUUGUCGAUUGCCGCAGAGAGUGCUGAAAUUGCUGCAGCCAGCCCUCCUUCAAGCACUGCAGUUGUGGCGCCUUGGCUGGUUGCUGCAGGGUGACGUGAGGCGGCUGGCGCAUUUCCACGCCUUUCGCCUCCCGUCGAUGUGUGGUCUACUUUGCGCGCCUUCCUUUGGGCGUGGAAGGCGCGCUGGUCUUCUGGUGUGCGCUCGCGCGCACGUUUUCUGACGCGAGUGCGCCAGCUGCUGUUGCCCCCUUCAGUGGGGCCGGAGUUGGCAGCAUUGGCUGCCGGCGUCUGUCUCGCGUGUGCCGGCUGCCUCGCCGGUUUUGCACCUGGGUGCGGACGGCGGAGGGAGAGGUCGGCAGUCGUCACGGCCUGCUGCCCGUUUUGGCAAGCUA